rnacentral:rRNA from 2 species
UGAAGUAAAAGUCGUAACAAGGUCUCCGUUGGUGAACCAGCG